UCCUCUCUCCUAUCUCCUCUCUCCUAUCUCCUCUCUCCUCUCGACCCCAAAACAGAUUUGAAGUUUAGCGCCGGCGUCCGGCGGCGCGUGAGAGCGCGUGCCGGCGCCGGAGCUCCUCUCUUCCCUUCCUCUUCUUCCUCUUUGCUUCUUCUCCAUCCUCGCUCAGUCAUCGUCUUGCGUCUGGCUCUGGUACGGCGUACAUCUGCGGUCCUGUCUUCCGCUCGCGAGGAGCGACGGUCCUGACGGUGUUCCGACAUUCUCUGGAGUUAGCGCGCGGUGGUCUUGAUCGGGUCUGUAGGAGGAGUCGGCUUUUCAGGGUUGGUGAGAGAUCGUGUUUCAAUUUGAGAUCUCCCAUUGUUGGUCUCGACGCUCGGGUUACGAGGUGAAGGUUUCCUUUCCGUUUUGACUUGCGGUGUUCGUGGGUCUGUUGAUGGUGGGUCUCGGCUUAACUGAGAGGAUUAACGGUUUUCUGCGGCGUCGUGGAGGCUCGUUCCUUCUUCGGUGAAGCCAAGUUAGCUCUUGGGGUUUUCCCGGAGGCGAGUCGCGAGUUGCAGUAUGCAGUCGGUAGUGGUGCUCAGCUCGGUUCCGGUUCGUGAGGCUCUCCCAUUGUUUGAAUUCCGGUCGUCUAUGGCUGGUUGACGACCUUUAAGGAGCUCCUUCUAGCUUUGGAUCCUCGUUCUUGACUUCGCUUUGGAUCUACUGAGUUGCGGCGACGGCUUCUCUUCUGUAGUCUUUGGUCUCAUCGGGUUAUUUUGACAUCCUCUACUGAUGCCGGAGGAUGGAUAUUUCAAGUCACAGAAGAUUGACCUUUGGUUCUCAAAGGCAACAACCGGCGUUGUGAGUUUGGUCAUACUCGCUUCAGCGUCUCGGUUGUUCAUAGGCAUUUCCCAGUACUGAUGUGGGUUGCUUGAUCUAGUCAGUAGUGUCUUUGGCUGGUUCUGUGCAGGUUAUUUGAGGCUCUCCUAAGCGAUGUGUGGCGACUGAGAUCAAGCCCGACUUUUUGCGUCGAAGGCGAGUGUGCAGUGGGACUCCGAUAGCGCUCCUCAGGUAUGCUGUCAUCAUCCCUUCUCUCCUUUGGUGUCUCGUGCUUAAUGGACAAGGAAGAGUGCAAGCUUGGCAAGAUCACUGAAUACUAGCUACUUCAGGCGACGUCUCAGAAACUCCGGCAUCCGAGGCAACAAGGUAAAAUCCACAUUCCCGGGGUUUAACGUCAAUAGAAAAGAACGGUAUUUGGUAGUCUAGAGAUUAUCGAACGCUCUAGCAGAACGCGCCGGAUAGGUGGUGGUGCGAAACUAGAGUUGUAAAGAUGUUGAUCUAGAUCAUUUUGUUCGAGUCAUGUUUGUAUUCAACUUUGAUGCCCUUCCGGGAUUUAUAAAUAAUAUAUAUUUAAAAAAAAAUUAUUAUAAUAUAUUUACU
rnacentral:lncRNA from 1 species